rnacentral:rRNA from 1 species
AACGCUGGCGGCGUGCCUAAUACAUGCAAGUCGAACGGAAGCAGAUUGAGCUUGCUUAAGAAGCUUUAGUGGCGAACGGGUGAGUAACGCGUUGGUGACCUACCCCAAAGAGGGGGAUAGCAGUUCGAAAGGACUGAUAAUACCCCAUGAGUUCUACGAGGUUAGAGACUGUAGAAGAAACGGAGCAAUUCGCUUUGGGAGGGGCCUGCGUCCCAUCAGCUAGUUGGUAGGGUAACGGCCUACCAAGGCGAUGACGGGUAGGGGACCUGAGAGGGUGGCCCCCCACAAUGGAACUGAAACACGGUCCAUACACCUACGGGUGGCAGCAGUAGGGAAUAUUGCUUAAUGGGCGAAAGCCUGAAGCAGCAACGCCGCGUGCACGAUGAAGGCCUUCGGGUCGUAAAGUGCUUUUUGGAGGGAUGAGGAAGGACAGUACCUCCAGAAUAAGCCUCGGCUAACUACGUGCCAGCAGCCGCGGUAAAACGUAGGAGGCAAGCGUUAUCCGGAUUUACUGGGCGUAAAGCGCGUGUAGGCGGUACGGCAAGUUGGAUGUGAAAGCUCCUGGCUUAACUGGGAGAGGUCGUUCAAAACUGUCGAACUAGAGUAUGAGAGAGGGAGGUGGAAUUCCGGGUGUAGUGGUGAAAUGCGUAGAUAUCCGGAGGAACACCAGUGGCGAAAGCGGCCUCCUGGCUCAAAACUGACGCUCAGACGCGAAAGCUAGGGUAGCAAACGGGAUUAGAGACCCCGGUAGUCCUAGCUGUAAACGAUGUGGACUAGGCGUUAGUGGGUUCAAAUCCAUCAGUGCCGAAGCAAACGCGAUAAGUCCACCGCCUGGGGACUACGGCCGCAAGGUUAAAACUCAAAGGAAUUGACGGGUCCCCGCACAAGCAGCGGAGCGUGUGGUUUAAUUCGUUGCUACACGAAGAACCUUACCAAGGUUUGACAUGCUAGUGGUAGAGUACUGAAAAGGGAUCGACCCUUCGGGGAGCUAGCACAGGUGCUGCAUGGCUGUCGUCAGCUCGUGUCGUGAGAUGUUCGGUUAAGUCCGCUAACGAGCGCAACCCUCGCCGUGUGUUAUACGUGUCACGCGGGACCGCCGGUCUUAAGCCGGAGGAAGGUGGGGAUGACGUCAAGUCAGCAUGGCCUUUAUAUCUUGGGCUACACACACGCUACAAUGGCCAGUACAAUUGGUUGCGAAGCCGCGAGGCGGAGCCAAUCCGUAAAAGCUGGCCUCAGUUCAGAUUGCAGGCUGCAACCCGCCUGCAUGAAGAUGGAGUUGCUAGUAACCGCAGGUCAGCAAUACUGCGGUGAAUACGUUCCCGGGCUUUGUACACACCGCCCGUCACACCACGAAAGUCGGCAACACCCGAAGCCAGUGAGCUAACUAGCAAUAGAGGCAGCUGUCGAAGGUGGGGUUGGUGAUUGGGGUGAAGUCGUAACAAGGUAUCCGUACCGGAAG